AUCCGAGACUUGGCGUUUGACUAAAUUAGUUGUAAACGGCAUGCCGUUAAUAACGUCGAAUGAUUCGUGCUCUUCUUCCGUAGAAUCUGGCUCCAUGGAUUUGUAUCUAUCAACGAGUUUCAAUGCUGUUCUGCAGAUAGCUUCCUUCUAUACUAUCUGAAAUUCGAAUCAAGGAGAGCGUCACUUGCAUGUUCAUCUGUUUCUAUAAAUGUUUGUGCUUCUCACUUUACAUGCUUUAUCAAUAUUUCUUGCAUUUUUCAUUGCCAACAACAUUUAAUUGAUUUAAUUUACACGUUGUAAUGAUUCAUACCAGACUGUAAUUUACUUUAUACAAUACUUUUACUGAUGAAUUAUUUGAUUGUUCUAGUGUGAAGGAACUUGUCUUAUUACCCACGUUUCCUUCAAAGAGUUUGUCUUUUGGUACAAGUUUUCUUAUCUAUAGCUUUUCUAAGACAUGAGCAAGCACUGCCGUUUGUCAAUGGAAUAUUUGGCCCAUCUAAAAUCAACUUUUCAUAUUCAUUUGAGUUAUUCGAAUAAUUAUAAAAGGUCACAAGUAUGAUAUAUAUAUUUAAACAUGUUUGAAUUUCUACAGUUGUAUAAAUAGCCUUAUAAGAUCUAGAUAUCCUGGUUUAUCAUUUUUAUUCAACCAAAAGCUUUUGAUUGUUUCAAAAAUUGAAAGGUAUUUCAUUGCCGUACCAAGUCUGGAAAACCAGAUUACAGCAAAAGGUGUCCAACAGAUGAAAAUCAUAGAUCACGGUGAUUAAUCUUGAGGUUUGUGAUAGUUCUGUAAAUAGGAAUUCAUAACACAAGACUGAUUAUUCCUUUUUUCCCAUGCUCUUUACAUAAUUAGGGUCCUGAUUUGAAGUCUCCCUUUGCGUGGAUACAAAGACAUGCACUUUUGUUAUAUGAAUGCAAUAUCUAAACGUAUAUGCCGACAUUAGAUUGCUACAACAUUGAAAGUUGUUGAUGCUGUCAUGAUGUUUAGGAAAGCUGGGUAGGUCUGAAAUGGACAGGACAGAAGGCUACUUGGGGCAUUUGAGUAAGUAAAGGGAAAAGGCAAACCUGGUAAUAUUAAUGGAUAAUUUUGUUUCUCUUUCCAAAUUCGUCUGUUGGUGCUCAAAGGUUCAUUCACAUUAAUGUGGAUUAGCAAUUUAAUUCGGAUAGUUUGAAGGGUCAUUUUCUGUUUUUGGGCAAGAAAUUUUUUGUUAUAAUAAUUUUUCAACAAUGACGUGAUAUACUUAAAUAAUCAAACCUAAUGGGAUUAUCCCUUAACAAUGGGAUGAUGUUGGUUGAUAAGUGUGGCUAUAGUUGCAAUGGAUUAUGAUAAAACUUGCAAUAUUUAAAUUAUUAAAACCUAACUGUAUGUUUUUUUUUUUUGUUCAAAGGGGAUGAAGCCAGUUGAAAAGUAUGGCUAUACUGGCUAUAGGAGUAGAUCGAUUGAGAAUUCUCAAACUGUCAGUAUCAUUCUUAUAAUGAACUUCCUCGCCAUUUAUUUCUGUGAUUACUCUAAAUGGGAGUUGGGGCUUUCAUAAUGCAGUGUUAUUAGCAAUCAAUACAACAUUUCUGUGGAUAUCAUACACAUUAUUAGAAUUUCUGGUGAAAUAUGCAGGCAGUUAUUUUCCUGGAUUCAGAAGUGAUACCAUGCUCAUGGCUGUGAUGAUAAUUAAAAAGUUAAUCAACAUCUUGAGUUUUACCCUCCCAUUUUGUAAUAAUGUUGGUCUCGAAAAUUUAUCCAUAGUCAAUAUUUCUGUUGUGAUAAGCAGUUUAUCUAAACAUAGUGCCAGUAUGUGAUCGAGCAGCAGGUGGCACACAUGUGUUUGUGAAUGAUUAUGAGGAUGGAAAUGUUUUAAUCCAAACUUAUGGUCAUGAUUUUGAUGGUUCCAUGUGAAUAAAUGUACACCUGUAGCAGUAUGAUUGACUAAUGAUUUUAAUAGGAUCCACUGUAACAGAUCAUGGCAUGGUGUUGCUAUGAUUUGGUGACUGGCAACUGAUAGUUGUGUUACUUAUCAUGUUUUUUAUAAGAUGGCCCUGUUUAAGGGAUGAAGAUGGUUACAUUAUAUUGGGUAUAAUGAGAAGAUGGUUGAAGUAAGAUUAUAUAAUAACCUGUUACUUUUUCAGAUAUGUAUGUAUGUAUGUAUGUAUGUAUGUAUGUAUGUAUGAUCUUUUACUGGUAUUCUUUUGGGUUCAUCUCAACUAGGUAGAAAGUACUUUUUGUUGAUUAAAAUUAUACUUGCCGCACAGGUGUAUAACAUGUGUGAUACCGUCCUACUUUCAUGUGGUCCCUCAGCUGUUUGUUCUGAACUUGCACUGUUAUGCAAUGUGCUUUGUCCUUGGAGAUAAUUGAUUGAACCUAUGUUAUCCGGAUAUAGGUCAUUCCAGUAAGACUGCCCUCAUUCGUAAGCAGAUUCGGGCCUAAUCAGGCAUUGGGGCCACCGCCAAAGUCACCGGGGCUUCAAAGUUGAAAGACAUAUAGAUGAUGGAUCAAAAUGAGAGCCUCCAGCUUGGCUAGCUCGUUGCCUGGACAAGCAUGAACACCGUUGCCAAACGGCAUGAAGGUAUUUGGUUUUGGAGCUACCUGCUUAAAUCCAUUUCCAGAAAAGCAAAAAUAAGGCAGCCCAUGAGUCCAAGGCAGAAAGAGCUAUGUGUUCAAUAUCAGGAAUUAGCUUCCUGAUGGUAUCAGGUGCUAGUGAGUAUUGAACCAACUUCCUUAGCCGAGUGUGGUAUUCACCCUGGUGAAAGAAGAGCGCCCAAGGGCCAAUCAUCAUCUCCUUGCUUUUGGGGUAAGUUGGUUUGAACAAGUGAGCAUGAGUCACCAGCACGAACCUCGCGGCUUCAGGGCUAGCCAACAUGACACAAGGACAACCGAGUAUUUGCGUUUUGAAUAUUUCUCCGUAUCUGAACAUCACAAAGGAAACAAACAAUGGCAGCACCAUCCAAGUUCAGUAUACUAGACAAAGGGAAAUUGAACAGCAACAAUAACAACAAGAAUGCCAGGUAAGAAACAGCAAUAACCUUUUCUGUUUUGUAAGAAAGAAGAUAUUUGGGUCUUGAGAGUAAAGUUGAAGAGUUUCUCCAAUAUAUGGCCAACCCAUUGAACCUGGUGGAAGCUUAUACCUUUCUAUAGGAAACCCUCUUUUUUGCUUCCUAAGAAAUGGAUAUGAAAGAAGAGUUGAGAGAAAGAGAAUCACGUAUAGUAUAAUAAAAACAAUAGUUUCCAUUGCAAAAAAAGAAAUAAUGUAGUCUCUCCCCCCCUC